rfam:Gemmatimonas sp. SG8_38_2 WOR_8-12_47210, whole genome shotgun sequence.
GCCCACGUGCUGGAAUUGGUAGACAGGCUAGCUUGAGGGGCUAGUGUCCUUCGGGGCGUACAGGUUCGAGUCCUGUCGUGGGCA